rnacentral:rRNA from 1 species
AAGGGUGCGUAGGCGGAUGUUAAGUGGGAUGUGAAAUCCCCGGGCUUACCUGGGGGCUGCAUCCAAACUGGAUAUCUAGAGUGCAGGAGAGGAAAGCGGAAUUCCUAGUGUAGCGGUGAAAUGCGUAGAGAUUAGGAAGAACACCAGUGGCGAAGGCGGCUUUCUGGACUGUAACUGACGCUGAGGCACGAAAGCGUGGGUAGCAAACAGGAUUAGAUACCCUGGUAGUCCACGCCGUAAACGAUGGAUACUANGUGGGGGGGGUAUCAACCCCCCUGUGCCGCAGUUAACACAAUAAGUAUCCCGCCUGGGGAGUACGGUCGCAAGAUUAAAACUCAAAGGAAUUGACGGGGGCCCGCACAAGCAGCGGAGCAUGUGGUUUAAUUCGAAGCAACGCGAAGAACCUUACCUGGACUUGACAUCCCUUGCAUAGCCUAGAGAUAGGUGAACCCUUCGGGGCAAGGAGACAGGUGGUGCAUGGUUGUCGUCAGCUCGUGUCGU